rnacentral:rRNA from 1 species
AAACCAACAGGGAUUACCUCAGUAACGGCGAGUGAAGCGGUAAAAGCUCAAAUUUGAAACCCUCGGGAUUGUAAUUUGAAGAUUUGGCAUUGGGAAAAGCUAACCCAAGUUGCUUGGAAUAGUGCGUCGUAGAGGGUGAGAACCCCGUGUGGCUAACCGUUUCCCAUGUAUUGCCUUAUCAAAGAGUCGAGUUGUUUGGGAAUGCAGCUCUAAGUGGGUGGUAAACUCCAUCUAAAGCUAAAUAUUGGCGAGAGACCGAUAGCGAACAAGUACUGUGAAGGAAAGAUGAAAAGAACUUUGAAAAGAGAGUGAAAUAGUAUGUGAAAUUGUUGAUAGGGAAGGGAAUGAGUGUAGCGUGGGUGAGGUUUCAAUUAUCUCUCGAGGUGAUGUACUGCCAAACCCGAGUCAAGGAGUGGGAAAAAGGGGUUAUAAAUGCAAACUCUCGAGUCUGCACCUAACCCCCGCCCUCCACUCCUCGACAUAAUACACC